rnacentral:lncRNA from 1 species
GGGCUUUCUUACCAUUCCCAGAUCUCCGCGAGCGCAGAGGCAAUUACAGGAGAUCCUAACUUUUUAAACUGAAGACAAAAGACGAGGGAACUCGGAUAAAACACGCUCCCAGGUCCAUCGCAGAACGUACAUGCCAAGGAAACUUCAUGCAGAUGGGGUCUGAUCUGGGGGCUCUGCAGGAGCCAACCCUUCCUGCACCCUCACUGGUGGUGCCAACCCCUGCGGCCAUGGGGCUGGCUGAGGCUGGAAGUAGGAGGGUGUUCGUUUGUGGCAGGCAGCUGAUUUAUAAUUCGAGAACGUCUCAGUGGGUCGAGGUGUGCGGCCCGCAGUGCUGCCAGGAAGCACCAUCCCCUGACCAAGCAGCAGUCGAGCGAUCUCCGCGCCGUGCCACCUGGCCAGGGCAGACCUCACCCAGACGCAUCCCUCAUUCCGGGAUCCGCACGUGGAAACGUGCUUCUUCAAGGCAUUUCGCAGCACGUUACCACCUCACACACACCGCUGGAGCCAGCCCCAAGCGUUUGGGUCUCCCGAGAUGGAUUAUUCACGUGUGGCUUCAUGAUCACAGCAGUAUUUUAAGAAGCGAUCCAAGCCCGUGCCUUUUGCUUCGCUUGCUGGCUCCAGAACCUGUAAGAUUUGCUUGGCUCUCGUUUAGAGCCUUGUUCUGCAGCCACGAGUGCCAGACGCUUCCCGCUGGCUUCCAGCACAAGCCAGAGCCGCGCCGCAGCCAGCCGGGAGCCUGCUGCCCUUCGGCUGCGAACACAACCGGGGGCACCAGCUCUGUACCCAGCCCCUGCAAAAUGCAUCUGCAAAGCACGGCAGAGACAAGGCUCGGGUUCCAAGCUAAACCAGGACUAAAUAAGCCUGCCACCGCUGCAAGCCUCAUCCAGGACUGCGUGGCCACAAGCAGCGCCUCCAUCGCAUGCAGCUGGAAGUCCUGCCCCGGUGGCACCUGGAGCUGUGCAGAGCAGGGAGGCUCUGCAGAUUUCACUGACAUGAGGCAAGGAAUAGGGAAAAAAAGCAUGCAGGGGAAGGAAACCCCGCUUAAAGGUGAACUGAAAGUUAAUAUAGCUGCAUAAAUUGGCUCAGACACUCAGCAACAGGGAAGAGGCAGCAAAGCAAAAUGCUGAAAAGCAAUUU